rnacentral:misc_RNA from 1 species
GAUGAAAACGUAGCGAAAUGCGAUACUUGGUGUGAAUUGCAGAAUCCCGUGAACCAUCGAGUCUUUGAACGCAAGUUGCGCCCGAAGCCACUAGGCCGAGGGCACGCCUGCCUGGGCGUCACACGCCGUUGCCCCCCCAUCUACUCCUUCGGGAUUGCGGGGGGGCGGAUGAUGGCCUCCCGUGCGCCUAGCCGCGCGGUUGGCAUAAAUACCAAGUCCUCGGCGACGCACGCCACGACAAUCGGUGGUUGCGAAACCUCGGUUGCCCGUCGUGUGCGUUCGUCGCGCAUCGAGGGCUCGAAAAAAUGCUCGGCUCCGGCUGGGCUUUCAACGCGACCCCAGGUCAGGCGGGGUUACCCGCUGAAUUUAAGCAUAUCAAUAAGCGGAGGA